rnacentral:rRNA from 1 species
UACGUAGGGGGCAAGCGUUGUCCGGAAUCAUUGGGCGUAAAGCGCGUGUAGGCGGUUCGAUAAGUCUGCUGUGAAAGUCCAGGGCUCAACCCUGGAAAGCCGGUGGAUACUGUCAGACUAGAGUGCGGAAGAGGCGAGUGGAAUUCCCCGGUGUAGCGGUGAAAUGCGCAGAUAUCGGGAGGAACACCAAUUGCGAAGGCAGCUCGCUGGGACGUUACUGACGCUGAGACGGCGAAAAGCGUGGGGAGCAAACAGG